GACGAGGGGGGGGCAAGUGUUCUUCGGAAUGACUGGGCGUAAAGGGCACGUAGGCGGUGAAUCGGGUUGAAAGUGAAAGUCGCCAAAAAACUGGCGGAAUGCUCUCGAAACCAAUUCACUUGGGUGAGACAGAGGAGAGUGUAAUUUCAUGUGUAGGGGUGAAAUUCGCAAAUCUACGAAGGAAGGCCAAAAGCGAAGGCAGCUCUCUGGGGUCCCUACCCG
rnacentral:rRNA from 1 species